GAUGAACGCUGGCGGCGUGCCUAAUACAUGCAAGUCGAGCGAACAGACGAGGAGCUUGCUCCUCUGACGUUAGCGGCGGACGGGUGAGUAACACGUGGAUAACCUACCUAUAAGACUGGGAUAACUUCGGGAAACCGGAGCUAAUACCGGAUAAUAUAUUGAACCGCAUGGUUCAAUAGUGAAAGACGGUUUUGCUGUCACUUAUAGAUGGAUCCGCGCCGCAUUAGCUAGUUGGUAAGGUAACGGCUUACCAAGGCAACGAUGCGUAGCCGACCUGAGAGGGUGAUCGGCCACACUGGAACUGAGACACGGUCCAGACUCCUACGGGAGGCAGCAGUAGGGAAUCUUCCGCAAUGGGCGAAAGCCUGACGGAGCAACGACGCGUGAGUGAUGAAGGUCUUCGGAUCGUAAAACUCUGUUAUUAGGGAAGAACAAAUGUGUAAGUAACUAUGCCCGUCUUGACGGUACCUAAUCAGAAAGCCACGGCUAACUACGUG
rnacentral:rRNA from 1 species